rnacentral:lncRNA from 1 species
CUAGUGAUUAUCAGGUUAACUACCCACCAUAUGGUGAAACCUUCUUCAAGUAUCCAACUGGUAGGGUUUCUGAUGGACGUGUGGUUCCAGAUUUCAUAGGUAAUUUUUUACUUUUAUUCUAAGAGCAUCCAUAGUGUAGACGCCUAUUUUCAGGUACUUUAGGUUCAACGUGUACAAAUCAUUCAUUUAUAAUUUCUUAAUAGUAGUACCUAACAAGCAUUCAAUCCCUGCAAUCCAUAUAUCACACAAAUUUCUUAAAUGAGACCUACUAAUCAACUAUCAAUAACUUUAUAUCAUUACAUUUCAACUUUUUAAUAUUAAAAGAGUGCGAGUCCCGUUUAAGAUUGAGGAUCUUAAGUAAGAUCCAGAGUCUUAUAAGACCCCUAAAAAAUUUCUAAACAACACUUAUAACUUAUAUGCAAAAACCUUCCAAAAAAAAAACUUAUAUGCAAAUAAUUUAACUUUAUUUAAUCUUUUAUAAUAAAAACAUCUUAUACGAUACUCCCUCCCGUUACAAUUUUAAAAAAUUUAUAAGAAACUUUUCAAAAAAAAAUAAUAUUUGGUUCUAUUUAUAAGAAAAGGUCACAAUUUUUAAGAUGUAUCUAUUUCGUAAAAGACUUUCUUAACCCUUAUUUAAUGUUUGUCUUUUUAAUAUUAAUAAAUAUAUUUAAUAUUUCUCAAAUUCCUAUAAGGGCCGUAUAUUUAUAAAAAAAUUCAAAAAGUUGAACCAGUUAAUAUAUGAUUGUAUUGGUUUUUAUGUUUUUUUUGUUCUUCUAAUUUGUUGCAGCUGAGUAUGCUAAGUUGCCGUUAACUCAACCAUACCUAUUUCCUGGUUCUCAAGAAUAUAUUAAUGGAAUCAAUUUUGCAUCAGCAGCAGCUGGGGCUUUAGUAGAAACCAAUCAAGGACGGGUCAGUUUAAUGUUGUUAAUUUAACGAGUGUUUUUGGGGCAUUCUUUAAGCAUUUUCUAAUGAAUAAAUUAUUUUUUAAGCAUUCUCCAAUGAAUAAAUUAUUUUGUUUAAAAAUUAAAAUUUCAAUUUCUAAUGCAAUAAAUGCACAAAAUUUUAUAAAAUCUUACCACUUUAGGUGUUUAAAGAGUACCUCGAAUGCACUCGUUAACAUUUCCCUUAAUUUAAUAAUGUCGUGCAUGUUAAUUUUUAGCUUAAUCGUGCUUUACUUGUUCAAAAAACCACUCUUUAAAAAAAUCCAAUUUUUUGUUCACUCAUCAAAAUUUUGAAAACAGAAAAUUGUGAUGUGAUAGUUUUUUUUUUGAAAAAUCUAUAUUAUUAUAAAUUCAAUUGAAUGAUUCCACAUCAGUAGGUUUUAUGCCACAUCAAUAAAAAAAUUCAUACAUCGUCAUUUUUAUAUCAAAAAAUCUAAGUAACUGUUUAUAUAUUACCAGGUGAUAGAUCUAAAGACACAAUUGAAUUAUUUCAAGAAUGUCAAGAAAGUAUUGAGACAGAGACUAGGAGAUGAAGAAACCACAACUCUGUUGGCCAAAGCUGUUUACUUGAUUAACAUAGGAAACAAUGAUUAUUUUGCAGAAAAUUCCAGCUUAUACACUCAUGAAAAAUAUGUAUCCAUGGUAGUUGGUAAUCUCACAGAUGUGAUCAAAGUAUGUAAAAGUUUCUUUUCUUCUGCAUUUUUUAUAUGGAAGUUCAUUUCCUUAUAAUAAAAGCUUGUUUAGAUUGAUUUAUUUAAACUCUUUUUAUCAGUACAUACAUUUGCAAGAUUGUUCGAGAGAGUUUACAAAAAAAUUCAUGACAUACAUGUUUAUAGCAUGUUUUCGUGCUCGUACAUGGAUGCGCUAGGUUGUAUUCAUGAGGAGUGUUUUCUGUUAGAAUUAAUUAGAGUUGAUCUAUCUGGUCUGUGAUGUAUUGUGUUAUUUUCAUUUGGGUUGUAUCUAGGUCAAGUCUAAUGCCCUCAGUCUCUGCAUCUCUUGUUUGUUAUUUAAUAUAUUUUUGCUUCUUGCCUAAAAAAAAAAAGUUUAUAGCAUGUUUACAACUUAUUUUUAUAAGCUCGUAAUAAUAACUUAUAAAAAUAAUUUUAACAUAUAUGAAAUUAAUUAAGCCGUUUAUUCAAACAUGCCAUAGAUGAUAGAUCUUCUACUAUUCUAAUUGUUUAAUUUCAGGGAAUAUAUGAGAUGGGAGGGAGGAAAUUUGGGAUUCUUAAUCAACUAUCUCUUGGCUGUUUCCCAGCCAUCAAGGCAUUUGUAAAUGGAUCUAAAUCAGGUUCUUGCAUUGAAGAGUUUUCAGCACUUGCUGAAGUGCACAACACAAAACUAUCAGUGGAACUUAAGAAUUUAACAAAAAAGAUCAAAGGAUUUAAAUAUUCAUAUUUUGAUUUCUAUCAUCUAUCUUUUGAAGUCAUAAGGAACCCUUCCAAAUUUGGUAGGUUAUGUCAUAUUUAUUUUUAGCAUUAUUUAUUUUUAAAAUUGAGUAUAGUUACACCCUUCCAAAAAAUUUUAGUUUUAUUUGCAUGUAGUGUUGUUAGUGUAAAAAGUUUUACGGUGGCAACAAAUCACAACUAAUUAAAUGAAUGACUUUUUUUUGAAGGAAUUAAAUGAAUGACUUUAAAAAUAGUUAUGAAAAAAGUUUAAUAUUUUUGAAUGAACAAACAAUUAUAAUUGACUCACAAGGUAAAACACAUUUACACCGACAAUGUUUUUUUUUUUUUUAAAGAAUUUACACCGAUAAUGUAUAUGGAUUAAUUUUUUUAUUUUGUAAUUUUAUGCUAGUGUAUUCCGUAUUUUAUUUUACCAAACCCUCGACGUCCUGUGUCAUAAGCCUUCAAAUCGGUUAUAUCUGAAUGGCAUAUCAAAUGAUUUUAUAGACAUUUUUUUUUGUUGAGAGGGGUUAUAGACAUAUAAGUACAUAACUUAUAACUUAUAUGAUAUUAUUUUUUCAAUUCAAUUGUCAGUUUUGUAAUAUAAGUAUAAAGUUAUUGAACAAUGUAAUAGAAUUUGCCUUCAAAUAUUACACGGUUAUAGUUUCUUUAUAUAUUUAUUUGGUUCUAAAUUUUUUGGCUUAAUUUGAUGAUGAAAAGGUUUGAAAGAAGCAGGAGUGGCAUGUUGUGGCAGUGGACCUUAUAGAGGAUAUUUCAGUUGUGGAGGUAAAAGAGAAGUGAAAGAUUAUGACUUGUGUGACAAUCCUUCUGAAUAUUUGUUCUUUGAUGCCAUUCAUGCUACUGAAAGUGCUAAUAGAAUUAUUUCCCAAUUUAUGUGGAGUGGAAAUCAGAGUAUCACUGGCCCUUACAAUAUCAAAACUCUAUUUGAAGAAUAAUUCAAAUAUAUAUACAAACAUAAAUUAAGUUGUUUGUAAGAUAAAAUAAAUGCAUUGUUGUUUUCUUGAUGUGUAAAUAAGAAUAACAAUAUACCGUGAUUAUAACUUAUUUGAUAUGGAUAUUGUUAUAUGUAAUGGUCGGAAUUUAAACCUAAAACUUCCGACAUAUUUAUGUAAGGGGUGAACUUCUAGUCACUCAAAAAAAAAAAAAAGAAUGUAAUGCAGUGUGUCAUUUUCUUGUUUGUUGACCAAGCCCUAAUAUAAUUUCCUCUUUACCCCCCCCCAUUGCAUUUUUUUCUUCGUUAGACUAUAUUAUCAUUAUGGAGUAAUACUGAUGGGAUUGUUAAUAUUAUUAUAUCAGAAAUGUAUGAUUGAACGAGGUAAUUAGAAAUAAGUUUAACUUUGAAGUAUUCCAAGGCUACUCCUACAUAAGUUAGAAAUGAAACGGUUAGAGUUUCAACCCAACAUGUCAAGUAUUAGAAUGUGUUUGAUAUAUAUGCAUAAAAGUUUAAUCAAAAGGACUGGGACAUGACACAAUUUUGGUUUUUCAGAGAGUCUGAAAUAUUCUAACGAGGUUGGCAUCUAACUGAUACCCCAUACUCUUCUCUUAUUCAAUAUAUUAUUAAAAAAAGAACUUAAACUAAUAUGAAUAAAUGGAGAAUCAAGAACUUAAACUAAGUUAUUACAUAUUAAGGUGUUCUUGCCAUAUGAGGAUAAAAUAUAAUAAAAAAUGUUAGGAAUACUCUUUUAACACUCAUUUUUGUAUUGGGUGAAGCCUAUGUGGGUCUCACCACUUUAUAUAUGAUCCAUUUCAAAUGUGUGAUGCCCACUAGGGGUGGGCAUAGUUUGGUUUGGGAUGAAAACUGAACUGAACCGAACCGAACCGUUUGUUAAAUUCAAAAUAACUAAUCGAAUCGAACUUUCUGCAUUUCAAACCGAACUGAAUUGUUAUUAUUGAUAGUGUUAAAAAUAAUAUAAAAAAAACAACCGAAAUCGAAUUUUAGAAGUUCUGAAAACCGAAUCGAACUGUUUCAAACCAAUAUGAACUGUUUUGGACUAAACUGAUGAACUGAACCGAACUGUUUCAGUGCAUCUCCAAAAUGGUUAGUAAUGGUUCAUGUUUUAUUAGCUUUACAUUAUAUUAUUAUUUAGGAGUACUACUUGAUGGGAUUGUUAAUACUAUAUGAGAAAUGUAUGAUUGGAAGAGGCAAUUAUAGUUUGGUGCAAAUAAGUUUAAUUUUAAAGUAUUCUAAGGCUACUCUUACAUAAGUUUGGAAUGAAACGCUCAAGAGUUUCAAUCUAACAAGAGAAGGAAUAGGAUAUUUUUAAUCUGCAUAAAUGUGUAAUCAAGGGACUGAGACAUGAAACAAUUGUCUCUUGUCUCAUGUUUUUGAUUUUCCAUAUUUGGGUGAUUUUUGCACUCUAGUCGUCACCUUUCCCCAUCCCUAACUUUUCCACCGCCAUCUUCAACCUUUUAACCAUGGAUUUACUCAAGCUUCCACCCCGCAAACUAAACCACCACAAACAGAUCUCAUUCUUAAGCCUCAAAAGAAACCACAACGUACUUUUGCAUGCUUAGUUUAAUUGAAAGGAAAAAAGGGCUGAAUAUGUCUUUGGUCUCUCUAAUUAUCUUAACUUUCACUCUUAUUUCUUUAAAAGAAUUCAUCGAAUGACAAUUGAUCCCUCUUGUUAACUCUCUUUAACGAUGUUGACGUAACAUUGACACAUGACAAUUUUCCUUAAGAGACAUUGACGUGCCACUAACACGUGGCAACUUUUGAUAAACAUAAUUAAAUAAUUUCGAAUGUUUAAAUAUUGUAUCUUACUGAAUUGUUUUCAAGUCUAAACAAUUUUAUUGAGUGUAUAUUUUUCAAUAAAAUCACUUGACUAUAGUAUUAUUUUAUCAUUCUAUGUUGUUCAAGAAAUGUACGUAGUUCAUCUGUUAGAGUUUGACUUUUUAAUUCAGCUAUGGUUAGAGUUUGAUUUUGUAAUUUUAAGGGGUAAAGUUUGAAUUUCACCUGAGACAACCAUAAUAUGAACAUUUGUGUUAGUGUUAUUUUUAGGGAACAAAUUUUUGUUUUCAGUGUUAUUAAUAAAAAAAAAAAAAAAAAAUCCUUAUAUUAGUUGACAAAGUAAUUAGAUGCAUAAUAUAUUAAUAUUUGUCCCUUUGCUGCCGUUUUUUAAGUUUAAGAAACUUCCAAUAUAAAUUUUAAUUAUUUUUAGUUAGACUUUUUACACAAUUCUUAGAUCAUUUGCUUGGGGAUGAAGUUAAUGAAUAGUUACAUGUAUUAAAGAAAAAAAUGCAAACCUCAUGCUUCCCAUGUAUUAUAUAUAUAUACUGUCACAUUAUAUGAUUAUAUAUAUUGAUUGGACCCAAAGAGUAUUCAUCACCCCAACAAAAAAAUCCGAAGAGUAUUCUGAGAAAUUAACUUAGAUGGCAAGCGAAAAAUUCAAUUUUGGUUUCCUAAUUUUCUUCCUAUGUUAUGGAAUUCUAAUUUCAACACAGUGCCUUGGUAAUAUAUGUGUACCAAAAGAACAUGUUGCGUUAUUUGUAUUUGGAGAUUCUUUCUUUGAUGUUGGAAACAAUAAUUAUAUCAAUACUACUACUGAUUUGCUGGCUAAUUACCCACCAUAUGGUGAAACCUUCUUCAAGUAUCCAUCUGGUAGAUUUUCUGAUGGACGUGUCAUUCCAGAUUUCAUAGGUAAAAAUAUGUUUUGAGAGAUGACAUAAGUUGUUUUCAACUUAUUUUCAUAAUUUCUUUAUAAUACGCUUAUAUGCAAACAAUUUAACUUUAUUUUAGCUUUAAUCGUACUUUAAUGCAUUUCAAUUACAUAUACCAAUUAACAAUCUGAUCAUGAUUAC